GCCGGGCGUGAUGGCUCACGCCUGUAAUCCCAACACUUUGGGAGGCUGAGGCAGGUGGAUCACUUGAGCUCAGGAGUUUGAGAAGUACUUGGGAAACACGGUGAGACCCUGCCUCUA
rnacentral:SRP_RNA from 1 species